UACGUAGGUGGCAAGCGUUGUACGGAUUUACUGGGCGUAAAGAGCGCGCAGGCGGUCGUUCAAGUCGCGUGUGAAAGCCCCCGGCUCAACUGGGGAGGGUCACGCGAUACUGAUCGACUCGAAGGCAGGAGAGGGUAGUGGAAUUCCCGGUGUAGUGGUGAAAUGCGUAGAUAUCGGGAGGAACACCAGUGGCGAAGGCGACUACCUGGCCUGUUUCUUGACGCUGAGGCGCGAAAGCUAGGGGAGCAAACGGG
rnacentral:rRNA from 1 species